AUUGAACGCUGGCGGAAGGCCUAACACAUGCACGUCGAACGAGUGGCGGACGGGUGAGUAAUGUCUGGGAAACUGCCUGAUGGAGGGGGAUAACUAAUGGAAACGGUAGCUAAUACCGCAUACCAUCGGAUGUGCCGCGAGGGGAUUAGCUAGUAGGUGGGGUAACGGCUCACCUAGGCGACGAUCCCUAGCUGGUCUGAGAUGAUGACCAGCCACACUGGAACUGAUACACGGUCCAGACGCCUACGGGAGGCAGCAGUGGGGAAUAUUGCACAAUGGGGGCAAGCCUGAUGCAGCCAUGCCGCGUGUAUGAAGAAGGCCUGCGGGUUGUAAAGUACUUUCAGCGGGGAGGCGUUACACGCAGAAGUAGCACCGGCUAACUCCGUGCCAGCCGCCGCGGUAAUAC
rnacentral:rRNA from 1 species